rnacentral:rRNA from 1 species
UACAGAGGUGGCAAGCGUUGUUCGGAAUUACUGGGCGUAAAGGGCGAGUAGGUGGCCAUCUAAGUCAGACGUGAAAUCCCCCGGCUUAACCUGGGAACUGCGUCUGAUACUGGACGGCUUGAGUAUGGGAGAGGGAUGUAGAAUUCCAGGUGUAGCGGUGAAAUGCGUAGAUAUCGGGAGGAACACCAGUGGCGAAGGCGGCUGCCUGGGCCAGUUCUGACGCUGAGGCGCGAAAGCGUGGGGAGCAAACAGG